rnacentral:rRNA from 1 species
GUCUUGAAAAUUAAAGAAGAUGGCGGUACUUUAGUCUAUUUAGAGGAACCUGUCCUAUAAUUGAUAGUCCACGAUUUAAUUUACUUAUUUUAAAAAAGUUUACAUAUCGCCGUAGAUUGAAUAUUUUUAUGAAAUUGUAAUGUUCAAUAAAUUUUUAAAAUAAAAAUUCAGGUCAAGAUGUAGCUAAUAAUUAAGAAGAGAUGGGUUACAAUAAAUUUAUUUAAAUGAAUUAGUAAAUUUAAAUUUAUUAUGAAGGUGGAUUUAAAAGUAAUUUUAUUUAAAUUUUUAAAAUGAUUUUAGCUCUAAAGUAUGUACAUAUCGCCCGUCGCUUUCAUUAUAAAGUGAAAUAAGUCGUAACAAAGUAGAUGUACUGGAAAGUGUUUCUGGAAAAUCAAAUUAGAGCUAGGAAAAGUAUUUUAGUUACAUUAAAAAGUUUAUUGUAAAAUCAAUAUAAUUUGAUAAUUUAAUUUUUUAUUAGUUUAUUUGUAUUUAAAAAAGUAUUAAAAAAAGAAUAUUUUAUUUUUAUUAAUUUUUUUGAAAUAAUAAAUAAUUUAUUAUAGAGUAAUAGUAUUGUGAAAGAAUAAGUUUAUAUAUAUAUAAGAAAAAUUUAUUUUUUGUACCUUGUGUAUCAGGGUUUAUUAAAAGGAAAUUAAAAAUUUAAUUUUCUCGAAUUGUUAAGAGCUAUAAUUAUAUAAAUAUUUUUGUAGCAUAAAAAUUUUCAAUAUAGUUAUAGAAGUGAAAUGCUAUUCGAUUAUCAAUAUAUCUAGUUUUUAAAGAAAAAAAUUUAAUUUUUUUAUUAUAUUAUAAAAAUUUAAUUUUUUAAUUUUUUAUAAGUAAUAGAUUAAAUUUUAAGGGAUGAGCUUUAAAAUUGAUUUUUUUAAGAUUUUGUAAAAUUAAUUUUGUAGGAUUGUAAGUUUUUAUCUUUAGAAAGUGUGUUGUAACUUUAUUAAUUAUAGAUAUAAUUUAUAUUAUUUUGAAAUUUUAUAUUUAAAUAAAAAUUUUAGUUUAAAAAAUUUUGUAAUAAUGGUAGAAUUAGUAUAAUUUUAUGUAAUUUAUAAAAUUAAUUUAAGGUUUUAUAAAGGAAUUCGGCAAAUAAAUUUUCUACCUGUUUAUUAAAAACAUGGCCUUUUGAUUAUAAUUUAAGGUCUGGCCUGCCCAAUGAGGAAUUUAAUGGCCGCGGUAUUUUGACCGUGCAAAGGUAGCAUAAUCAUUAGUUUUUUAAUUGAAAGCUAGAAUGAAAGGUUGGAUGAGAAAAUAACUGUCUCUAUAAAAAUUUUUUAGAAUUUUAUUUUUAAGUAAAAAAGCUUAAAUAUAAAUAGAAGACGAGAAGACCCUAUAGAGUUUUAUUAUUAAUUUAAAGGAAAGUUUUAGUAUUGAA